rnacentral:snRNA from 15 species
AAAAAAACCUGGCGCCGAGUUCAGGGUGAUCAAGAAAACUCUGACCCGGGGUGGAAGCUCACCACUUCACUUCCGUGGGUCGAAACUCGCAACGGACCCUAGUCGGGUGCGCUUAGGCAUGCAGUUUUUGUCAAAGGUGAAGCCUCACAGUCCUCCCUUU